rnacentral:piRNA from 1 species
UGAGUGACAGGAGUCCAUCAUGGCAGA